UGCAAGUCGAGCGGAACGAGUUAUCUGAACCUUCGGGGAACGAUAACGGCGUCGAGCGGCGGACGGGUGAGUAAUGCCUAGGAAAUUGCCCUGAUGUGGGGGAUAACCAUUGGAAACGAUGGCUAAUACCGCAUGAUGCCUACGGGCCAAAGAGGGGGACCUUCGGGCCUCUCGCGUCAGGAUAUGCCUAGGUGGGAUUAGCUAGUUGGUGAGGUAAGGGCUCACCAAGGCGACGAUCCCUAGCUGGUCUGAGAGGAUGAUCAGCCACACUGGAACUGAGACACGGUCCAGACUCCUACGGGAGGCAGCAGUGGGGAAUAUUGCACAAUGGGCGCAAGCCUGAUGCAGCCAUGCCGCGUGUAUGAAGAAGGCCUUCGGGUUGUAAAGUACUUUCAGUCGUGAGGAAGGCGGUGUCGUUAAUAGCGGCAUUGUUUGACGUUAGCGACAGAAGAAGCACCGGCUAACUCCGUGCCAGCAGCCGCGGUAAUACGGAGGGUGC
rnacentral:rRNA from 1 species